GGGGCUGUAGCUCAGUGGUAGAGUGCUUGCCUUUCAUGUAUGAGACCCUGGGUUCUAUCCCAAGCACCA
rnacentral:tRNA from 1 species